GACGAACGCUGGCGGCGUGCUUAACACAUGCAAGUCGAACGAAGAGCGACGGAAGCUUGCUUCUAUCAAUCUUAGUGGCGAACGGGUGAGUAACGCGUAAUCAACCUGCCCUUCAGAGGGGGACAACAGUUGGAAACGACUGCUAAUACCGCAUACGAUCUAACCUCGGCAUCGAGGAUAGAUGAAAGGUGGCCUCUACAUGUAAGCUAUCACUGAAGGAGGGGAUUGCGUCUGAUUAGCUAGUUGGAGGGGUAACGGCCCACAAAGGCGAUGAUCAGUAGCCGGUAUGAGAGGAUGAACGGCCACAUUGGGAAUGAGACAAGGCCCAGAAUCCUACGGGAGGAAGCAGUGGGGAAUCUUCCGCAAUGGACGAAAGUCUGACGGAGCAACGCCGCGUGAGUGAUGACGGACUUCGGGUUGUAAAGCUCUGUUAAUCGGGACGAAAGGCCUUCUUGCGAAUAGUGAGAAGGAUUGACGGUACCGGAAUAGAAAGCCACGGCUAACUACGUG
rnacentral:rRNA from 1 species